rnacentral:rRNA from 1 species
UACGUAGGGUGCGAGCGUUAAUCGGAAUUACUGGGCGUAAAGCGUGCGCAGGCGGUUUUGUAAGCCAGGUGUGAAAUCCCCGGGCUCAACCUGGGAAUGGCAUUUGGGACUGCAAGGCUGGAGUGCGGCAGAGGAGACUGGAAUUCCUGGUGUAGCAGUGAAAUGCGUAGAUAUCAGGAGGAAUACCGAUGGCGAAGGCAGGUCUCUGGGCUGACACUGACGCUGAGGCAUGAAAGCGUGGGGAGCAAACAGG